CCUACGGGAGGCAGCAGUGGGGAAUUUUGGACAAUGGGCGCAAGCCUGAUCCAGCCAUGCCGCGUGUGGGAAGAAGGCCUUCGGGUUGUAAACCACUUUUGUCAGGGAAGAAACGGUCUGAACUAAUACUUUGGACUAAUGACGGUACCUGAAGAAUAAGCACCGGCUAACUACGUGCCAGCAGCCGCGGUAAUACGUAGGGUGCAAGCGUUAAUCGGAAUUACUGGGCGUAAAGCGUGCGCAGGCGGCUUUGCAAGACAGAUGUGAAAUCCCCGGGCUCAACCUGGGAACUGCAUUUGUGACUGCAUGGCUAGAGUACGGUAGAGGGGGAUGGAAUUCCGCGUGUAGCAGUGAAAUGCGUAGAUAUGCGGAGGAACACCGAUGGCGAAGGCAAUCCCCUGGACCUGUACUGACGCUCAUGCACGAAAGCGUGGGGAGCAAACAGGAUUAGAUACCCUGGUAGUCCACGCCCUAAACGAUGUCAACUGGUUGUUGGGAGGGUUUCUUCUCAGUAACGAAGCUAACGCGUGAAGUUGACCGCCUGGGGAGUACGGCCGCAAGGUUGAAACUUAAUGAAUUGACGG
rnacentral:rRNA from 1 species